UAGGGAAUCUUCGGCAAUGGACGAAAGUCUGACCGAGCAACGCCGCGUGAGUGAAGAAGGUUUUCGGAUCGUAAAACUCUGUUGUUAGAGAAGAACAAGGACGUUAGUAACUGAACGUCCCCUGACGGUAUCUAACCAGAAAGCCACGGCUAACUACGUGCCAGCAGCCGCGGUAAUACGUAGGUGGCAAGCGUUGUCCGGAUUUAUUGGGCGUAAAGCGAGCGCAGGCGGUUUCUUAAGUCUGAUGUGAAAGCCCCGGGCUCAACCGGGGAGGGUCAUUGGAAACUGGGAGACUUGAGUGCAGAAGAGGAGGGUUGAAUUCCAUGUGUAGCGGUGAAAUGCGUAGAUAUAUGGAGGAACACCAGUGGCGUAAGCGGCGCUCUGGUCUGUAACUGACGCUGAGGCUCGAAAGCGUGGGGAGCAAACAGG
rnacentral:rRNA from 1 species